rnacentral:rRNA from 1 species
UACAGAGGUCUCAAGCGUUGUUCGGAUUCAUUGGGCGUAAAGGGUGCGUAGGCGGCGCGGUAAGUCGGGUGUGAAAUCUCGGAGCUUAACUCCGAAACUGCAUUCGAUACUGCCGUGCUUGAGGACUGGAGAGGAGACUGGAAUUUACGGUGUAGCAGUGAAAUGCGUAGAGAUCGUAAGGAAGACCAGUGGCGAAGGCGGAUCUCUGGACAGUUCCUGACACUGAGGCACGAAGGCCAGGGGAGCAAACGGG